rnacentral:rRNA from 1 species
GAUGAACGCUGGCGGCGUGCCUAAUACAUGCAAGUCGAGCGAACGGACGAGAAGCUUGCUUCUCUGAUGUUAGCGGCGGACGGGUGAGUAACACGUGGAUAACCUACCUAUAAGACUGGGAUAACUUCGGGAAACCGGAGCUAAUACCGGAUAAUAUUUUGAACCGCAUGGUUCAAAAGUGAAAGACGGUCUUGCUGUCACUUAUAGAUGGAUCCGCGCUGCAUUAGCUAGUUGGUAAGGUAACGGCUUACCAAGGCAACGAUGCAUAGCCGACCUGAGAGGGUGAUCGGCCACACUGGAACUGAGACACGGUCCAGACUCCUACGGGAGGCAGCAGUAGGGAAUCUUCCGCAAUGGGCGAAAGCCUGACGGAGCAACGCCGCGUGAGUGAUGAAGGUCUUCGGAUCGUAAAACUCUGUUAUUAGGGAAGAACAUAUGUGUAAGUAACUGUGCACAUCUUGACGGUACCUAAUCGGAAAGCCACGGCUAACUACGUGCCAGCAGCCGCGGUAAUACGUAGGUGGCAAGCGUUAUCCGGAAUUAUUGGGCGUAAAGCGCGCGUAGGCGGUUUUUUAAGUCUGAUGUGAAAGCCCACGGCUCAACCGUGGAGGGUCAUUGGAAACUGGAAAACUUGAGUGCAGAAGAGGAAAGUGGAAUUCCAUGUGUAGCGGUGAAAUGCGCAGAGAUAUGGAGGAACACCAGUGGCGAAGGCGACUUUCUGGUCUGUAACUGACGCUGAUGUGCGAAAGCGUGGGGAUCAAACAGGAUUAGAUACCCUGGUAGUCCACGCCGUAAACGAUGAGUGCUAAGUGUUAGGGGGUUUCCGCCCCUUAGUGCUGCAGCUAACGCAUUAAGCACUCCGCCUGGGGAGUACGACCGCAAGGUUGAAACUCAAAGGAAUUGACGGGGACCCGCACAAGCGGUGGAGCAUGUGGUUUAAUUCGAAGCAACGCGAAGAACCUUACCAAAUCUUGACAUCCUUUGACAACUCUAGAGAUAGAGCCUUCCCCUUCGGGGGGCAAAGUGACAGGUGGUGCAUGGUUGUCGUCAGCUCGUGUCGUGAGAUGUUGGGUUAAGUCCCGCAACGAGCGCAACCCUUAAGCUUAGUUGCCAUCAUUAAGUUGGGCACUCUAAGUUGACUGCCGGUGACAAACCGGAGGAAGGUGGGGAUGACGUCAAAUCAUCAUGCCCCUUAUGAUUUGGGCUACACACGUGCUACAAUGGACAAUACAAAGGGCAGCGAAACCGCGAGGUCAAGCAAAUCCCAUAAAGUUGUUCUCAGUUCGGAUUGUAGUCUGCAACUCGACUACAUGAAGCUGGAAUCGCUAGUAAUCGUAGAUCAGCAUGCUACGGUGAAUACGUUCCCGGGUCU